GUGGCCCAACGGCGGUCGGCGGCAACGUCUGUACUGCCGGUUUUCGGACUACCUCUUUCUGGGGAAACGUCGUCCCUUAACUGGGUUCGGCGGCUGAACCAGGACGUUUACUUUGAAAAAUUAGAGUGUUUAAAGCAAGCGUACGCUUGAAUACAUUAGCAUGGAAUAAUGAAAUAGGGCUUCAGUUCUAUUUUGUUGGUUUUCAGAAUCCGAAGCAAUGAUUAA
rnacentral:rRNA from 1 species